AUGCCUGGAGCAAUGGCCACCAGAAGUAAUAGCCAAGACAUUAGGGCGAGCCCCGAGCUACCGAAGCAACUGCCCAUCGACUUUCUGAAGAAAAUUACAAACGAUUUCUCUGCUGAGCGGAAGAUUGGCGGAGGUCCAUUUGGAAGCGUUUAUAAGGGAGUUGUGCCAGAUGAUGGCAGAGUGAUUGCGGUGAAGAAACUUCAGGAGAACGCGCCGAUGCCGCCUGACAAGACAUUCAACAACGAGGUUCAGAACAUUAUGGCGCUCAAACACGAAAACAUAGUCGAGUUGGUUGGGUUCUGCUGGGAAACACAGAAGAAGCUGGUGCAGUUCAAUGGAAGGUAUAUUCAGGUAGACAUCACUGAAAGUUUACUCUGCUAUGAGUAUUUACCUAACGGGAGUCUUCAACAGAAUCUUUUUGGAACAAAAACAGCUGAGGCAGUCUCUUCAGCUGAACCUGCUAUCGAUUGGGCCGUACGCUUCAAGAUAAUCAAGGGAAUUUGCCAGGGUUUACUAUUUCUACACAAGUUGGAUAUUCCCAUUAUUCAUAUGGAUCUGAAGCCUGAAAAUAUAUUAUUAGAUGAAAGUAUGGUUCCAAAGAUUGCUGAUUUUGGACUCUCGAGGGUCUUUGGCCAAGAACAAACCCGAUUGUACACACAAACAGUUGUGGGAUCAUAUGGGUACAUGGCUCCAGAAUAUCUAUACAGAGGUGAAAUUUCGGCCCAGUCAGACAUAUAUAGUUUUGGCUUAUUAAUACUCGAGAUCAGUACUGGAGAGCAGAACUGCAAAGACAAACCAACCCUCAGCAAGAAACUUUAUUGA
rnacentral:rRNA from 1 species